GGUUAAGCGACUAAGCGUACACGGUGGAUGCCCUGGCAGUCAGAGGCGAUGAAGGACGUGCUAAUCUGCGAAAAGCGUCGGUAAGGUGAUAUGAACCGUUAUAACCGGCGAUGUCCGAAUGGGGAAACCCAGUGCAAUUCGUUGCACUAUCGUUAACUGAAUACAUAGGUUAACGAGGCGAACCGGGGGAACUGAAACAUCUAAGUACCCCGAGGAAAAGAAAUCAACCGAGAUUCCCCCAGUAGCGGCGAGCGAACGGGGAGCAGCCCAGAGUCUGAAUCAGCUUGUGUGUUAGUGGAACGGUCUGGAAAGUCCGACGGUACAGGGUGAUAGUCCCGUACACCAAAAUGCACAGGUUGUGAACUCGAAGAGUAGGGCGGGACACGUGGUAUCCUGUCUGAAUAUGGGGGGACCAUCCUCCAAGGCUAAAUACUCCUGACUGACCGAUAGUGAACCAGUACCGUGAGGGAAAGGCGAAAAGAACCCCGGCGAGGGGAGUGAAAAAGAACCUGAAACCGUGUACGUACAAGCAGUGGGAGCACCUUCGGGUGUGACUGCGUACCUUUUGUAUAAUGGGUCAGCGACUUAUAUUCUGUAGCAAGGUUAACCGUAUAGGGGAGCCGCAGGGAAACCGAGUCUUAACUGGGCGUUAAGUUGCAGGGUAUAGACCCGAAACCCGGUGAUCUAGCCAUGGGCAGGUUGAAGGUUGGGUAACACUAACUGGAGGACCGAACCGACUAAUGUUGAAAAAUUAGCGGAUGACUUGUGGCUGGGGGUGAAAGGCCAAUCAAACCGGGAGAUAGCUGGUUCUCCCCGAAAGCUAUUUAGGUAGCGCCUCGUGAACUCAUCUUCGGGGGUAGAGCACUGUUUCGGCUAGGGGGUCAUCCCGACUUACCAACCCGAUGCAAACUACGAAUACCGAAGAAUGUUAUCACGGGAGACACACGGCGGGUGCUAACGUCCGUCGUGAAGAGGGAAACAACCCAGACCGCCAGCUAAGGUCCCAAAGUCAUGGUUAAGUGGGAAACGAUGUGGGAAGGCACAGACAGCCAGGAUGUUGGCUUAGAAGCAGCCAUCAUUUAAAGAAAGCGUAAUAGCUCACUGGUCGAGUCGGCCUGCGCGGAAGAUGUAACGGGGCUAAACCAUGCACCGAAGCUGCGGCAGCGACACGAUGUGUUGUUGGGUAGGGGAGCGUUCUGUAAGCCUGCGAAGGUGGCCUGUGAGGGUUGCUGGAGGUAUCAGAAGUGCGAAUGCUGACAUAAGUAACGAUAAAGCGGGUGAAAAGCCCGCUCGCCGGAAGACCAAGGGUUCCUGUCCAACGUUAAUCGGGGCAGGGUGAGUCGACCCCUAAGGCGAGGCCGAAAGGCGUAGUCGAUGGGAAACAGGUUAAUAUUCCUGUACUUGGUGUUACUGCGAAGGGGGGACGGAGAAGGCUAUGUUAGCCGGGCGACGGUUGUCCCGGUUUAAGCAUGUAGGCUGGUUAUCCAGGCAAAUCCGGAUAAUCAAGGCUGAGGUGUGAUGACGAGGCACUACGGUGCUGAAGUAACAAAUGCCCUGCUUCCAGGAAAAGCCUCUAAGCAUCAGGUAACAUCAAAUCGUACCCCAAACCGACACAGGUGGUCAGGUAGAGAAUACCAAGGCGCUUGAGAGAACUCGGGUGAAGGAACUAGGCAAAAUGGUGCCGUAACUUCGGGAGAAGGCACGCUGGUGUGUAGGUGAAGUCCCUGCGGAUGGAGCUGAGACCAGUCGAAGAUACCAGCUGGCUGCAACUGUUUAUUAAAAACACAGCACUGUGCAAACACGAAAGUGGACGUAUACGGUGUGACGCCUGCCCGGUGCCGGAAGGUUAAUUGAUGGGGUUAUCCGUAAGGAGAAGCUCUUGAUCGAAGCCCCGGUAAACGGCGGCCGUAACUAUAACGGUCCUAAGGUAGCGAAAUUCCUUGUCGGGUAAGUUCCGACCUGCACGAAUGGCGUAAUGAUGGCCAGGCUGUCUCCACCCGAGACUCAGUGAAAUUGAACUCGCUGUGAAGAUGCAGUGUACCCGCGGCAAGACGGAAAGACCCCGUGAACCUUUACUAUAGCUUGACACUGAACAUUGAGCCUUGAUGUGUAGGAUAGGUGGGAGGCUUUGAAGCGUGGACGCCAGUCUGCGUGGAGCCAACCUUGAAAUACCACCCUUUAAUGUUUGAUGUUCUAACGUGGGCCCCUAAUCGGGGUUGCGGACAGUGUCUGGUGGGUAGUUUGACUGGGGCGGUCUCCUCCCAAAGCGUAACGGAGGAGCACGAAGGUUAGCUAAUCCUGGUCGGACAUCAGGAGGUUAGUGCAAUGGCAUAAGCUAGCUUGACUGCGAGCGUGACGGCGCGAGCAGGUGCGAAAGCAGGUCAUAGUGAUCCGGUGGUUCUGAAUGGAAGGGCCAUCGCUCAACGGAUAAAAGGUACUCCGGGGAUAACAGGCUGAUACCGCCCAAGAGUUCAUAUCGACGGCGGUGUUUGGCACCUCGAUGUCGGCUCAUCACAUCCUGGGGCUGAAGUAGGUCCCAAGGGUAUGGCUGUUCGCCAUUUAAAGUGGUACGCGAGCUGGGUUUAGAACGUCGUGAGACAGUUCGGUCCCUAUCUGCCGUGGGCGCUGGAGAAUUGAGGGGGGCUGCUCCUAGUACGAGAGGACCGGAGUGGACGCAUCACUGGUGUUCGGGUUGUCAUGCCAAUGGCACUGCCCGGUAGCUAAAUGCGGAAGAGAUAAGUGCUGAAAGCAUCUAAGCACGAAACUUGCCCCGAGAUGAGUUCUCCCUGAGACUAUAAGUCUCCUGAAGGAACGUUGAAGACGACGACGUUGAUAGGCCGGGUGUGUAAGCGCAGCGAUGCGUUGAGCUAACCGGUACUAAUGAACCGUGAGGCUUAACCUU
rnacentral:rRNA from 1 species